rnacentral:rRNA from 1 species
AUGUCCCUACGGGGGGCAGCAGUAGGGAAUAUUGCUCAAUGGGGGAAACCCUGAAGCAGCAACGCCGCGUGGAGGAUGAAGGUUUUCGGAUUGUAAACUCCUUUUGUUAGAGAAGAUAAUGACGGUAUCUAACGAAUAAGCACCGGCUAACUCCGUGCCAGCAGCCGCGGUAAUACGGAGGGCGCAAGCGUUACUCGGAAUCACUGGGCGUAAAGAGCGCGCAGCCGGGAAGACAAGUCAGAUGUGAAAUCCCGCGGCUCAACCGCGGAACUGCAUUUGAAACUGUUUUUCUUGAGUACCGGAGG